rnacentral:rRNA from 1 species
CGAGUGGCGGACGGGUGAGUAAUGUCUGGGAAACUGCCUGAUGGAGGGGGAUAACUACUGGAAACGGUGGCUAAUACCGCAUAACGUCGCAAGACCAAAGAGGGGGACCUUCGGGCCUCUUGCCAUCAGAUGUGCCCAGAUGGGAUUAGCUUGUUGGUGAGGUAACGGCUCACCAAGGCGACGAUCCCUAGCUGGUCUGAGAGGAUGACCAGCCACACUGGAACUGAGACACGGUCCAGACUCCUACGGGAGGCAGCAGUGGGGAAUAUUGCACAAUGGGCGCAAGCCUGAUGCAGCCAUGCCGCGUGUAUGAAGAAGGCCUUCGGGUUGUAAAGUACUUUCAGCGGGGAGGAAGGUGUUGUGGUUAAUAACCGCAGCAAUUGACGUUACCCGCAGAAGAAGCACCGGCUAACUCCGUGCCAGCAGCCGCGGUAAUACGGAGGGUGCAAGCGUUAAUCGGAAUUACUGGGCGUAAAGCGCACGCAGGCGGUCUGUCAAGUCGGAUGUGAAAUCCCCGGGCUCAACCUGGGAACUGCAUUCGAAACUGGCAGGCUUGAGUCUUGUAGAGGGGGGUAGAAUUCCAGGUGUAGCGGUGAAAUGCGUAGAGAUCUGGAGGAAUACCGGUGGCGAAGGCGGCCCCCUGGACAAAGACUGACGCUCAGGUGCGAAAGCGUGGGGAGCAAACAGGAUUAGAUACCCUGGUAGUCCACGCCGUAAACGAUGUCUACUUGGAGGUUGUGCCCUUGAGGCGUGGCUUCCGGAGCUAACGCGUUAAGUAGACCGCCUGGGGAGUACGGCCGCAAGGUUAAAACUCAAAUGAAUUGACGGGGGCCCGCACAAGCGGUGGAGCAUGUGGUUUAAUUCGAUGCAACGCGAAGAACCUUACCUGGUCUUGACAUCCACAGAAGAAUCCAGAGAUGGAUUUGUGCCUUCGGGAACUGUGAGACAGGUGCUGCAUGGCUGUCGUCAGCUCGUGUUGUGAAAUGUUGGGUUAAGUCCCGCAACGAGCGCAACCCUUAUCCUUUGUUGCCAGCGGUCCGGCCGGGAACUCAAAGGAGACUGCCAGUGAUAAACUGGAGGAAGGUGGGGAUGACGUCAAGUCAUCAUGGCCCUUACGACCAGGGCUACACACGUGCUACAAUGGCGCAUACAAAGAGAAGCGACCUCGCGAGAGCAAGCGGACCUCAUAAAGUGCGUCGUAGUCCGGAUUGGAGUCUGCAACUCGACUCCAUGAAGUCGGAAUCGCUAGUAAUCGUGGAUCAGAAUGCCACGGUGAAUACGUUCCCGGGCCUUGUACACACCGCCCGUCACACCAUGGGAGUGGGUUGCAAAAGAAGUAGGUAGCUUAACCUUCGGGAGGGCGCUUACCACUUUGUGAUUCAUGACUGGGGUGAAGUCGUAACAAGGUAACCGUAGGGGAACCUGCGGUUGGAUCACCUCCUUACCUUAAAGAAGC